AGCUCCAAUAGCGUAUAUUAAAGUUGUUGCAGUUAAAAAGCUCGUAGUUGGAUCUCAGGUCCAGGCUCGAGGUCCACCUCGCGGUGGCUACUUCCUGUCCUGACCUACCAUCCGGUUUUCCCUUGGUGCUCUUGAUUGAGUGUCUCGGGUGGCCAGAACGUUUACUUUGAAAAAAUUAGAGUGUUCAAAGCAGGCGCAUCGCCUGAAUAAUGGUGCAUGGAAUAAUGGAACAGGACCUCGGUUCUAUUUUGUUGGUUUUCGGAAGUCGAGGUAAUGAUUAAGAGGGACAGACGGGGGCAUUCGUAUUACGGUGUUAGAGGUGAAAUUCUUGGAUCGCCGUAAGACGAACUACUGCGAAAGCAUUUGCCAAGAAUGUUUUCA
rnacentral:rRNA from 1 species